rnacentral:snRNA from 1 species
GUGUUCUUGCUUCGGCAGCACAUAUACUAAAAUUGGAACGAUACAGAGAAGAUUAACAUGGCUCCUGCGCAAGGACGACACGCAGAAUCGUGAAGCGUUCCAAGAUGUG